rnacentral:rRNA from 14 species
GAGCGAGCGCGACUGGUCUUGGCCAGACGACCAGACAUGCGAGAUAAAGGUGUGAAACAUGCC